rnacentral:rRNA from 1 species
CGAUAUCAAUAAGCGGAGGAAAAGAAAAUAACAAUGAUUCCCCUAGUAACUGCGAGUGAAGAGGGACAAGCUCAAAUUUUAAAUCUGUUAGGUUCUACCUGACCGAGUUGUAAUUUGAAGAGGCGUUUUCUGUGGUUCUGAUCAGUCCAAGUCCUUUGGGAUAAGGCAUCACGGAGGGUGAGAAUCCCGUUCGGUUGAUCAGGUCACUUUACGAUACGUCAUCAAAGAGUCAAGUUGUUUGGGAUUGCAGCUUAAAAUGGGAGGUAAAUUUCUCCUAAGGCUAAAUAACGGCGAGAGACCGAUAGCGAACAAGUACCGUGAGGGAAAGAUGAAAAGAACUUUGAAAAGAGAGUUAAACAGUACGUGAAAUUGUUGAAAGGGAAACGAUUAAAGCCAGUCGUACCGGCGGGUAAUCAGCCUUUUGGGUGUGAUUAUGUGGAGCGUGAGGAGUUUAAUCGCCUUCAUGCCUGCAUAUUCGUGCACUUUGGGUGUACCUGCUCGUGUGGUAGGUUAACAUCAAUUUCGGUCAUCAUAAAAUGAUUGGGGGAAUGUAGCUUCGAUCUCGUAUUGAAGUGUUAUAGACUCUGGUAGAUGUGAUGAACGGGAUUGAGGAUUGCAACGGAUACCCUUCGGGGCUACCCGUCUGACCUCUGAGAGUUACUCUGGUGCUGAAAGCGUGCUUACAGUAUCAAAGUUGACGUUCAAUAGGUUAGAACGGGUUAAAUUCGUUAAGGAUGUUGACGUA